CCUCUCUGGUGGUGGUGGUCUUCUCUUUAGGGGCGUGGGGCUGCACGGCACAACACAUCUGCUCUGAGUCAUGAUUCACAAAAAAAGAGAUUGUCUGGAGUUCUGUCUGUCGGAGGCCAGGUGAGCGAGGCCUCGUCUUAGUCGGAGAGCAGCAGCGCGGUGGGCAGCAGCCAGCCGAGGCCCAGGAGCAGGGACAGGGGGACGGGCCGGGCGCCGCCGUCCGACAGGCCCGGAGACGGGAGAGUGGAGUCGCCCUCGUCGCCCCACAAUCUGUCGUUCUCGUUUACCUGAAAAUAAACGACAGGCGUGUUGUGGUGAGUUAGUUAUCCGCCCACAGAUCCAACAUCUUUUCGGCAGAAAAAAGAAACCGAUCGGGGGGAAGGAGAGAGUUCAUGGAACUGUAUCGGUGUAAAGGUCAAAUUCUCCACGUCCCCAGUUGAAGAAUAAGACGAGCGAAGCCACUUUGCAACUCAUCUGAUGCAAUUUCACAGCAAGAGAUGCAGCAAACAUAUUCAGUCAAGCUCCGUGUUUCCAUUAUUCCCUUCUUCUCUCUCCAAAUCCUUCACAAUACAACAUGUUAGUAUAGAAAGGCAUUAAAAAGUAAUAUUUUUAAGAAGUUAGACACUAGUCUACUCACUUCUCCUCGAUUGACUUGCAGACAAGUGAAAGCUGAUUGAAAAUGCACAGAAACGUCUGCAGUGUCAAUUCAUUUAUUGUUGCUCUAUCAGAGAGACGGUCAUUUGAAUGUGACAGGGUCCGAUGUCUGAUGACAUGAUCCUCACGGAGCUGAUCCAGAGCUAAUUCUCUCACUGUCACUUUAUUUCCUCCUGCGUUGAUACUCUGCGAUCAGGUGUUGACAUUGUGUCCACGUUUCACAACGUGUCACUGUUCUGUGGACGUUUAUCUCUGCACCGUGACAACAUCAGCUCAAACGCAGUCGGAGGAGGAUACAGGCUGAAACAAUGGUGCGUGGGACGAGGCGUUCAGGGGCCCUCAGGCGAGAACAUGUAAUUUGGGCUUUUGGCCCUUUUCCCUUCAGCUUCCCCCUCUGGAAAUAACGGAACGGCCUAGUUAUUCAUUUAGCUCGUGAAGUUUAUUUAUAUCUGUUGGCGGAUUGUCAAUUAUGUUAUCUACAGCAUUUUUUUGGGGUUCCCAUAAGAAGCAUAUGCACGGAACAAAUUCUCCUCCGCCUGAAAUGAAGUUUAUAUAUUAUUUAUUAAUUCCCGCCCUCAUUAUUAAAAUUUGAAAUACUGUGUGCGAUGCAAAACCGGCCGUCUUACAUUAAAAUUUAUAUUCAACUGA